CAGCCGCCACGGUAAUACGUAGGUGGCAAGCGUUGUCCGGAAUUAUUGGGCGUAAAGGGCUCGCAGGCGGUUUCUUAAGUCUGAUGUGAAAGCCCCCGGCUCAACCGGGGAGGGUCAUUGGAAACUGGGAAACUUGAGUGCAGAAGAGGAGAGUGGAAUUCCACGUGUAGCGGUGAAAUGCGUAGAGAUGUGGAGGAACACCAGUGGCGAAGGCGACUCUCUGGUCUGUAACUGACGCUGAGGAGCGAAAGCGUGGGGAGCGAACAGGAUUAGAUACCCCUGUAGUCCUGUCUCUUAUACC
rnacentral:rRNA from 1 species